rnacentral:misc_RNA from 1 species
AUAUAUAACAACGCCUAAAGAGAGCAGUUACAUGGGAUGCUCAAAAGCUUUUAUCAAGUUUGUAUGGUAUACCAAGAUCAUGCAGUUGAAAAUUAAACAAAACUUGGCUCAUCUUUUUAACAAACAAAAGCCAUUGUGAGCAUUAAAAAACUGAGGGAGGCAGACCCAAUUGCAGCAUCAAGUGCAUUUAGCUAGGUAUGCAUCCCAUCCUUGAAGUCGAUAUUCACGGGCUGCCUCUGCAGGAUCUGCUGCCUUUAUAAUCCCACGGCCCACAAUGAUGAUGUCACUACCCCUAUCAUAGAUCACAGAAUAUGGGGUGUUAUAUUGCUGGCCAAGGGCGUCUCCCCCAGUCACCUUUUGAACACCUGGGGUUGCUUGAAUAAAUGCUGGAUUUAUUGGUGCCCCUGGCCAUGAUGCUGGAUUAACUGAGAUGAAGCCAAUGACAAAAUCUGAAUGUUCUUCAGCAAUUUUUACUGCUGCAGCUGUGUAAUCUCCUGUGGCAAAGUUACCAGCUGAACUCAUUUCUGCAAGCAACAAUAGGCCCCUACCGCGAGGCAGACCCUUCAAUUUCAAUCCAUCCACAAUUCCAGGACCAGAAAUAAUGUGAGCAUUAACAAUAUC